UACGGAGGGUGCAAGCGUUGCUCGGAAUCACUGGGCGUAAAGCGUACGCAGGCGGCUCGUUAAGUCGGGUGUGAAAGCCCUGGGCUCAACCCAGGAAGUGCACUCGAAACUGGCAAGCUAGAGGACGGGAGAGGAGAGCGGAAUUCCUGGUGUAGAGGUGAAAUUCGUAGAUAUCAGGAGGAACAUCAGUGGCGAAAGCGGCUCUCUGGCUCGUUUCUGACGCUCAUGUACGAGAGCGUGGGUAGCAAACAGG
rnacentral:rRNA from 1 species